CAGCAGCCGCGGUAAUACGUAGGUGGCAAGCGUUGUCCGGAAUUAUUGGGCGUAAAGCGCGCGCAGGUGGUUUAAUAAGUCUGAUGUGAAAGCCCACGGCUCAACCGUGGAGGGUCAUUGGAAACUGUUAAACUUGAGUGCAGGAGAGAAAAGUGGAAUUCCUAGUGUAGCGGUGAAAUGCGUAGAGAUUAGGAGGAACACCAGUGGCGAAGGCGGCUUUUUGGCCUGUAACUGACACUGAGGCGCGGAAGCGUGGGGAGCAAACAGGAUUAGAUACCCCGGUAGUCCCUGUCUCUUAUAC
rnacentral:rRNA from 1 species